rnacentral:rRNA from 1 species
GGAUAAACGCUGGCGGCGCACAUAAGACAUGCAAGUUGAACGGACUUAAUCGAAAUAUUUAUAUUUUGAAGCGGUUAGUGGCGGACUGGUGAGUAACGCGUAAGGAACCUGCCUAUUAGAGGGGAAUAACAGUGAGAAAUCAUUGCUAAUACCGCAUAUGCCAUAGAUAUCACAUGAUAACAGUGGGAAAGGAGCAAUCCGCUAAUAGAUGGCCUUGCGUCUGAUUAGAUAGUUGGUGGGGUAACGGCCUACCAAGUCGACGAUCAGUAGCCGGACUGAGAGGUUGAACGGCCACAUUGGGACUGAGAUACGGCCCAGACUCCUACGGGAGGCAGCAGUCGGGAAUAUUGCGCAAUGGAGGAAACUCUGACGCAGUGACGCCGCGUAUAGGAAGAAGGUUUUCGGAUUGUAAACUAUUGUCGUUAGGGAAGAGAAAGGACAGUACCUAAGGAGGAAGCUCCGGCUAACUACGUG